UAGUUGAUUCAUUGUUCAUUUAUUCGAACAUUCACAACUCACAAGAUGGAGUCAAGAGUUGGACUAUUUUACUUAGGAAUGAUUUUGUGUCCUCUUCCAGAGAAGGGAGAUUGAAAUUAGACUAAAACUAGAAUGUGUAUCUACAGUAAAGGAAACAAUAUAUUUUGGACUGACUUAAAAGGAUCAUACUCACGAGUCGUCUCAUAAUUUGGAGAGGAGUAAAUUGCAGCCUUGUUAACUAUGCCAUCAACAUUGACUGAAUAUACUAAAAGCCUACAGUGUACUCUUAGAUAUUCUAAGUAAAUUUAGUAAGGAAACUGAAGUAUAUGGAAUAGAAAAAGAUAUACAGGCAGAAAAGAGAAAAAAAUAACUGUAAACAGAGCAAAAAUUAUACAAACAACACUAGCAGUAGCAGUCAUUUUUCAACCAAGCAAAGAUCUCAGAAUUAGUGUUCAAAGAGACUUUAGAGAACCUAUUAGAAAAUGCUGGAGGAAGAAGAUGCCAUAAAACUACAACAAAAAAUCUAGUUAUCAAUCUUAUAAACUAAAACUAAAAUCUUCAGUAUAAUCCUGGAAACAGACAGGAGCUAUUCCAAAACAGCACAAAAUCUAUCUAUCGCACAAAAAAAGAAACAUAGAUGACAUUGGCAUUUAUAGGGCCUAUAAGCCUAAUUUUAAGCUGCAUCUCUAAAAACUUGGAUGAAUAUUUACAACUAAAGCAGACAGGCUACAGAAAAAACUUCUUGACUGUAGAUCACAUACACAUUGCUAGACAGAUGGCCAAAAUGUGCAUGAAUAUAAUAUUUAAUAUUACUCGUGCUUUGCAGCCAACAACAAGGCAUUUGCUUCACUGGUGGGCAACCUGUUAUCGCUGAAACUGUUUACAGCUGUUCUAGAGUAAAUAUUUGGAAUGAUUCAACAUAAUAUAUAUUUAUAGUCUUUAACAUAACUGGAAAAGAUUAGUGAACAACAUAGCAGUCUUUAACUUGAACAAAUGCUCUUAGAACAAAAUACAGCUAGUAAAUAAGUUGAAGAUUUAAUAAGUGUUCUGGUAGAAAUGCCAAUAUUAUAAAAAUGGAUGCAAACAAUAGACUAUGUAUAGGCAUGUCUAUAUGAAGGACAACUAUCUAUAAUAUCCAAUCAUGAUUCAACAACAAGAAAAAUAGGCAGAAGAAUUGGAAACACAUGCAUGGGAUAUUGGUUUCUAAAAAAAGUUAUGAAAAAUUGAAAAAUAGUCAAUCAAGAAUGCACCAAUCACACACGGCUGCCAAAUUUACACAAUUUCGGGGAUUUUCUUUUCUUAAACAAAAACAAAAAGGCAAUCACCCGCAGCAGCCACUACAUACCUCACAAGUUAAAGAAUGAUGAUCUAAAACUCUCUAGGCAGGAUUGGUGGCGUUAGUUCGCUACUCUUUCGCAAAUUUUGUCUUGUCGCACGGCGUUCUAGUGUUCAGCAUGGCUUCAAGAAGGUUCUUCCCUCUCAUGUAUCAUUCCGUCCUUGUCCAGAUUUAGAAAAUUUGCUCGCUUUCUUCAUUAAAGGCGUAUAACUAUCCUCAAAACAUGGAAACGGUUUUCCUGAAAACUUCCAUUUUUCUACACCUGUUCUGAAACUCUUUCAUCAAAAAAAUAUUUCAUCCUGAGAACGACAAUAACAUGCAAAUUUUGUAAUAUAUGAUAGAGCCUCUCAUGAAUCUAUGCUCUGGUAAUUAAAUUGAGCAAUUGUCAUCAUAACCGUCAUAAGCAGCCUGAUUUGAUGCAUUCUGUACUUGCAGCAGAACAUCCUUCGCCUUAAGUGUUACAUUAGUUGUGGAUAAAUACUGUUCAAGAUGUAAUAUUUAUAAUGCAACAGCGGUAAGCGAUUGCAACAAUUGAAAAGCGUGCUGUGUAAAAAGUUAUUCAUGGAGCCGUCAGCUAAUACUUCUGCUUGCACCAGUAUUUCCAAGUUCCAGUUCUAAUCCAGAACAGUCGAUAUAUUUUCCGAGGGCUUUAAAAAUUCCACCUCUGUGUGGAACGCUCCCAAGUUAGCGAAAAUAUUAUAUAGCGGUUUUUUUUGGUCAUGAAUUUGCAUUGCCAUUUUUGCUGUCGCUAAAUCACAUGAAGGGUUUUAGACAUGAGGGGUUUAGAAAAUAUUAGUUUGUUGAUAAUGUUCUUCAAUGACGAAAAGUAGGAAAAAAACAGUUUGACAUGUCUUACAAAUAAUACAUUAUAAAAAUUUGACAAGUGUAACUUGUUUAACCACAAAAAAAGGUAACUACAUUGGUAAAAUUGCUACAAAGAUUAUUCACACCCGUCGGGUAUGUUCAGGUCAGCAGUAAUUGUCGGAAAAUAUCUGGAUUCUUCACUUGUUUUAAACCGGUUCAUCAGGUUUGACACUUUUCUAGCAGACAUUGAUAUUUGUUCUUAAUGGCGAGGUUGAUGAAUUAGUCCAUGUUUUCGGGCUUCCAGAAUAAUAGAACAUCAGCUGAACACCUAUUCUUUUUUGAAAUCUUUCUUCUUGCAAAAUCUUUGUCAUUUGUUAAGUUAGAAUGACCUCUUACCGGAAAAUGCAUUAUCAAUGAGUAACAUUGAUGUGCCUUCAUUCGCACCUUUCUUAGCAGUAGUGUCAGGAUAAACAUACAUCGAUGAACUGUCAUCAGACAGGUCGUGGACCUAGGGUUGCCAACUUUUUUUGACAAAUAAAACGUAUAAAAGUGGUUUGGAUAGGAAAAAAAUAAAGUAUUAGGAAGAAAAAAAAGUAUAUUUCAAAUUUUAUGUUUUUUUUUGCUUUAAAAACGUAUUUUUGUGUGCUUUAAGCACAUGAUAACAAUUUCUUGUUAUCUUUUAAAUGUUACAAAGCUUGUUUGACAAUCAAUAUUUAAAUUUAAAUAGAUAAAUAAUUCGUUUUUAAUUAAAUUUAUUGAUGCUCUAUUUCUCUCUUCUCGCCACUUCAGAUUCAUUACUGAAAAAACUCGUUCAGUAAAAGCUGAAGUUGCAGGAACGAAGAGUAGGUAAGAAAUAUUUUUUUUUAUAUUUGGUAAGCUAUCAGAUGCAUUUUUAAGUAUAUAUUGCCAUUUUUCUACUGUACUUUUCACUAAAAAUUCUUGAUCAUCAUUAGUGAAGUCAAUCAAGAAUGCACCAAUCACACACGGCUGCCAAAUUUACACAAUUUCGGGGAUUUUCUUUUCUUAAACGAAAACAAAAAGGCAAUCACCCGCAGCAGCCACUACAUACCUCACAAGUUAAAGAAUGAAGAUCUAGAACUCUCUAGGCAGGAUUGGUGGCGUUAGUUCGCUACUCUUUCGCAAAUUUUGUCUUGUCGUACGGCGUUCUAGAGUGUUCAGCGUGUUCAUUCCGUCCUUGUCCAGAUUUAGAAAAUUCGCUGUACAUUAUUUCUUCAUGAAAUAUAUAAUAUAAAGGUAUAAGCUAUUCUAGCCUAGAAAACAUGGAAACGGUUUUCCUGAAAACUUCCAAUUGUCUACACGUGUUCUGCAACUCUUAGAAAAAUAUUUCAUCCACCUGACAACGAGAAUAACAUUAUGGAAAUUUUGUAAUAUAUGAUAGAGCCUCUCAUGAAACUAUGCUAUCACAUUUCAACGUGCUGAAAACGUCUCUAACUUUUGGAAACAUUGAAAAAUAUUUCAGUUAACCCGUCUUCGUAGUAAUAUUAAUAAACUCUUAAAUUCCUUCUCCUUUGGGUUCACAAAUUUUAGUAGUGCUACAAAAGGUCCUCCCAUAUUCGGCGCGCUGGGCGAAAUAAAUUCCCAUUGUAGGCCGACCUCUGCUUUCGUGGCGAUUUUCUCUCUUAGCUCUUCAAUGACUGGAGUUCUUAUUAGCCUUAACAAAGUUUGUAUCAUUAUCGAAAUAAAUUCCCGUCGUUCCUCUUCGUGCAGCGAAUCUCUUUAACGCCAUUAUUGUAGAGUCCGUCGGUCAGGCUGGGCCCUAUAUCAAACCGUACUUCCCUUGUGGUCAGACAGGUGAACAAGGCUCCCCAUCUCUUCUCUCUUCGUCUGUCAACCGUCACGACACAUUAGUAAGUACAGUUCAAAGUUACCGGUAUACUUCUGGAAAACCGAAGGUAAAAAUUAAGUAAGCACUGGUAAUAAAAUUGAGCCAUUUUCUCAAAAAAAAGGUUCAAAAUACGAUUCAAUAAAUCUGGUAACUAGAUUGUUCCGUUGACGUCAUACGCAGCCUGAUUUGAUGCAUUCUGUACUUGCUUUUGCAGCAGUACAUCCAUCGCCUCAAGUGUUACCUUAGUUGUGGUAAAUACUGUUCAAAAUGUAAUAUUUUAAAUGCGACAGCGGUAAACGAUUGAAAUGCGUGCUGUCUAAAAAGUUAUUCAUGGAGCCGCCAUCUAAUACUUCUGCUUGCACCAGUAUUUCCACUAAUCCACAAAAGACAAUAUAUUUUCCGAGGGCUUUAAAAAUGCCACCUCUGUGUGUAACGCUCCCAAGUCAGCGAAAAUAUUAUAUAGCGUUUUUUUUUGUUCAAGAAUUUGCAUUGCCAUUUUUCUGUCGCUAAAUCACAUGAAGGGUUUCGAGAAAAACAUUAGUUUGUUGACAAUAAUCUUCAGUGACGAGGUUAAAAAACACAAUGACAUAAGUCUUUGACAAAAAUAAAUUAAUAAAAUUUGACUUAUGUAUGUUGUUUUACCACAAAAAAAUAGUAGGUAACUGCAUUGGUAAUAUUGAAUCUUUAUUGGGUAAUCUAUCAUAGACGUAUAGUAACAAAGGUUAUUCACACCCGUCGGGUAUGUUCAGGUCAGCAUUAAUUGUCGGAAAAAAUCUUCACUUGUUUAUCAGGUUUGACACUUUCCCUGCAGACAUUGAUAUUUGUUCUUAAUGGAGAGGUGUGUGGCACCUAAAUUUUAUGUUGAAGUCAGUUUUGAAUACAUUCUAAUAUAGUAUGUAAAGAAAAUUAAUCCGAAUUACGUUUCUUAAAUGUAUAUAAUAUAAUAAACGUAUAUUUUCUGUAAGGGUCAACGUUUCUUCCAAAUACAUUAUAUUAGGGUUCUCACUUAAUUAUGAAUGUGACUGCCUCGCUUUAAAGGAUCUGAUGUGAUUGUGGUAUUUCAUCACGUUUGCCCCU